rnacentral:rRNA from 1 species
GAUGAACCGUACGAACGUUAUUCGGAAUCACUGGGCUUAAAGGGUGCGUAGGCUGCGCGGAAAGUUGGGUGUGAAAUCCCUCGGCUCAACCGAGGAACUGCGCCCAAAACUGCCGUGCUCGAGGGAGACAGAGGUGAGCGGAACUUAGGGUGGAGCGGUGAAAUGCGUUGAUAUCCUAAGGAACACCGGUGGCGAAAGCGGCUCACUGGGUCUCUUCUGACGCUGAGGCACGAAAGCUAGGGUAGCGAACGGG